rnacentral:lncRNA from 1 species
ACAGCAGAGGCAUCUCCGCUUCCUGUUUCCGCCAUUUCAAGGGAUGGCGCUCCCAUCUCUUUAAGCUGCCGCUCUUCCAACUUGGCAGGGCUGAUUAGGAAGACCCAGUUCCUGACCACCGAUGCUUUGCUACGCUAGGCUGGAAAAUGCCUCCCUCUGCCCUUGAGAAGGGGGUCUGAAUGUUUUGCGGGACUGACACCGCAGCAACAUGCCGGUGUGUUUCACGCUGCUGCCUCCUGUUUCCCUUGAAGCUUUCACCAGACCCUGGAUUUCUUUUUCACUUCCUGUUCUGAGCCAUCGCCGGGCACUCAUUACCCACCAGCUGUGUCCCAGCUGCCGCAUUCUACACUAGAGGUGGCGCCCUGCACCCGGCGGAAAUGAAGAGAAUCAGACUACCCACCUUGGAUUCUGAUAUGAAAGAUUUAGGAUAAAAGAGCUACUCCAUCAGCCUGGAAAGAUGACUCACUGGCAAACUCUUAGAUAAAGCUAAACUUCACACCAAACUGCAAGAGAGUCUAAGAAUGAAGAGAAAACUGCUUUGGCAAGCAACUACCUAGUCUCUGACACAGUCCACCUUUUUGGUCAGCCAAUAUCCAGCUCCGCCUUGUCUUCUUACACAAAGCCCAGGCAAAGCCCAGGAUUGCUAACUGUUGUACAAACCUGUUGGUCAGGCCUAGAUGGAAGCUUUCAACCCCAUUUCAAGUCAGCUGGCUUAUCCAACCCUGAAAGGUCUGUGAUCUCUCAGUUCUUUUUAUAAACAGGCCUCUGCUUGCAAAUGGCCAAUUCUUGCCUGAGCUCAUCUCUUUCUUGUAAUACUUUAUGAAAGGCAGCCAGUAGUAACUAAUGCAUAAAUUUUUCCAACCAACUGGCCCAAAGGUCAGUAGACCUUUUUACCAAAUGUUUCGCAAUGUAUAGCAUGAAUCUCCAUCUUUCUCCUCUCUGUUAUCAGGUUCCUCAGUGCCCAACCAUUAUGUCAAUGCCUUUUACCUUAAUUUUUUUCUUAUGGCAACAUUUUCUUCUGGAAUUAUUUCUGUACUGUAGCAAAUGCCCUAAACUGUGUAAAACAGUUUGAAGACACUAUUUUUUUUUCUAUUUUUAUCAUUUGUUCCUCGGUCUACUCAAUACGCUCCCUGCUUAAAACUCCCCUAGUGAUUUUCUGUUGGGUUUAAAAUAGAGUCUAAACUCUUUACCAUGGAUUACAAGCUUCUCUGUUAACUGGUUGUAACCUGCAUUUCCAGCCUCCUUUGGCGCCACUCUUGUCCCACCAACUAUAUCACAUUUCCUUUGGAACAUUUUCUGCUUCUUGAACUUGCCCAGGUCCUUGCUGUUAGCUGGUCCCUUUGCCUAUGAUGAUCUUCCUUCUUAGCAUCACUUGAACUGCAAAAAAUAAAAAAUGAAACAAAAAACAAACUCCUGUGUGUU